CCCGCUGAAUUUAAGCAUAUCAAUAAGCGGAGGAAAAGAAUCUAUACAGGGAUUCCCCUAGUAACUGCGAGUGAAGCGGGAAGAGCUCAAAUUUAAAAUCUGGCGUGCCUCUGGUAGUCUGAGUUGUAGUCUAAAGAAGCGUUUUCCGUGUUGGACAGUGUACAAGUGCCUUGGAACAGGGCGUCAUAGAGGGUGAGAAUCCAGUCUAUGACACACCACUGCCAAUGCUUUGUGAUGCGCUCUCAAAGAGUCGAGUUGUUUGGGAAUGCAGCUCAAAAUGGGCGGGAAAUUCUCAUCUAAAGCUUAAUAUAGGCUAUAGACCGAUAGUGAUCAAGUACCGUGCGGGAAAGAUGAAAAGCACUUUGGAAAGAGAGUUAAACAGUUCGUGAAAAUGCUGAAAGGGAAACGCUUGAAGUCAGUCGUGUCUGCCAGGACUCAGCUUUGCUCCUGCAUGGUGUAUUUUUUGGUCGGAUGGGCCAAUAUCAAUUUUGACCGUUGGAAAAAGGCUAUGGGAAUGUGGCACCUUUGGGUGUGUUAUAGUCGUAGGUCGUAUACACCGGCUAUGGGAUUGAGGAUCGUAGCAGCACGCCUUUACUGGCAGCAGGUUCACACGCACGUAUCGUGCUUAGGAUGUUGUCAUAAUGGCUAUAAGCGACCCGUCUUGAAACACGG
rnacentral:rRNA from 1 species